rnacentral:tRNA from 1 species
GGGGACAUAGCUCAGUGGUAGAGUGCAUGCUUGGUGUGUAUGAGGUCCUGGGUUCAAUCCCCAGUGCCUCCG